rnacentral:rRNA from 1 species
UACGGAGGGUGCAAGCGUUAAUCGGAAUUACUGGGCGUAAAGCGCACGUAGGCGGAUUUGUAAGUCAGGGGUGAAAUCCCGGGGCUCAACCUCGGAACUGCCUUUGAUACUGCAAAUCUCGAGUCCGGAAGAGGUGAGUGGAAUUCCUAGUGUAGAGGUGAAAUUCGUAGAUAUUAGGAAGAACACCAGUGGCGAAGGCGGCUCACUGGUCCGGUACUGACGCUGAGGUGCGAAAGCGUGGGGAGCAAACAGG